AAGCUGGCGUCUUCGGCGUCCGCAUUGUAAUCUCAAGAAGUGUUUUCCGCUUCGGACCAUGCCUAAGUCCCUUGGAAAAGGGCAUCAUAGAGGGUGAUAAUCCCGUACAUGGCAUGGAGCGCCCGAAGCUUUGUGAUACGCUUUCUAAGAGUCGAGUUGUUUGGGAAUGCAGCUCAAAAUGGGUGGUAAAUGCCAUCUAAGGCUAAAUAUUGGGGAGAGACCGAUAGCGAACAAGUACAGUGAUGGAAAGAUGAAAAGAACUUUGAAAAGAGAGUUAAACAGUACGUGAAAUUGCCAAAAGGGAAGGGUAGGAGGUCAGAGAUGCGGCCUGGGAUUCAGCCUUGCUUUUGCUUGGUGUUUUUCCCAGAUUGCAGGCCAACGUCGGUUUUGGGCACUGGAGAAGGGUAGGAGGAACGUGGCACCUCUCGGGGUGUGUUAUAGCCUCCUACUGGAUACAGCGACCGAGACCGAGGACAGCAGCGUACUCGCAAGAGCGGGCCUUCGGGCACCUUUACGCUUAGGGCGUUGGCAUAAUGGCCCUCUACCACCCGUCUUG
rnacentral:rRNA from 1 species